UACGAAGGGGGCUAGCGUUGCUCGGAAUUACUGGGCGUAAAGCGUGCGUAGACGGUUACAUAAGUCGGGUGUGAAAGCCCCGGGCUCAACCUGGGAAUUGCAUUCGAGACUGCGUAGCUAGGGUGCGGAAGAGGGAAGCGGAAUUUCCGGUGUAGCGGUGAAAUGCGUAGAUAUCGGAAGGAACACCAGUGGCGAAAGCGGCUUCCUGGUCCAGCACCGACGUCAGGCACGAAAGCGUGGGGAGCAAACAGG
rnacentral:rRNA from 1 species